AUUGAACGCUGGCGGCAGGCCUAACACAUGCAAGUCGAGCGGAUGAAGGGAGCUUGCUCCUGGAUUCAGCGGCGGACGGGUGAGUAAUGCCUAGGAAUCUGCCUGGUAGUGGGGGAUAACGUCCGGAAACGGGCGCUAAUACCGCAUACGUCCUGAGGGAGAAAGUGGGGGAUCUUCGGACCUCACGCUAUCAGAUGAGCCUAGGUCGGAUUAGCUAGUUGGUGGGGUAAAGGCCUACCAAGGCGACGAUCCGUAACUGGUCUGAGAGGAUGAUCAGUCACACUGGAACUGAGACACGGUCCAGACUCCUACGGGAGGCAGCAGUGGGGAAUAUUGGACAAUGGGCGAAAGCCUGAUCCAGCCAUGCCGCGUGUGUGAAGAAGGUCUUCGGAUUGUAAAGCACUUUAAGUUGGAAGGAAGGGCAGUAAGUUAAUACCUUGCUGUUUUGACGUUACCAACAGAAUAAGCACCGGCUAACUUCG
rnacentral:rRNA from 1 species